CUUGUGUCUGUCACGUGUGCUCUGCCGAUCUUAGGACCGACUGACCCAUGUUCAACUGCUGUUCACACGGAACCCUUCUCCACUUCGGCCUUCAAAGUUCUCGUUUGAAUAUUUGCUACUACCUCCAAGAUCUGCACCCGCGGCGGCUCCACCCGGGCCCGCGCCCUGGGCCUCCGUGCGCACCGCGGCGACCCUCCUACUUGUCG